GCAAGAUAGAAGAUCUGACGCAUUGUGCUUUCGGCGAGAUAUGUUGGUACUUCACUGGAUCUUGGGAGCAGUUCAGGGUUAAUGGACGGGUUGAUGUUAUUGAUGGAUCAGAUGCGGAUCCGGUUAAGCUUGCGCAAAGAGAGAAGGCUUGGUUUGCCAGUUCAAUGAAAUCUAGAUAUCAGUACUUAGGACCCGCGCCUCGUCUUCCGGUUAUUUGUGAUGACCAAGGAACAAAUUAUCAGCUCGACCCUUCAGCUGGACCAGUUGAUGCAUUCUGUCUU
rnacentral:misc_RNA from 1 species